rnacentral:lncRNA from 1 species
AUUGCUAGCUAUCUAAAAGAUUGUCCUCGCCCGCUGCGGCUGCUUUGGUCUGCGGCCCAGGCAGAGGUACACACUCUCCUGACACCCUCACUGUCCGGUGUCUUCGUCGUCUCUCCCCGCCCAAAGCUGCUACUAUCUUUUAUAUGAUAUAUUACCAUCACCAAGAACAUGGAGGUAAGGAAGAAGAAGGAGGAAGAAUAAGAUAAGGACCACUUUCAUCCAUCUUAGAACUCCUGACCCCCCUGUACAAAGUGAAAACCCCCCUGUACAGGUACUAAAACCCCCCUGUACAACACUAAAAAAUUUUACCCUCUAAUUUGUGACUACUUUUACUAUACCAUCUAACAUUCUGUGACUGCUUGUUCCACCCUCAAAGUUGGUAAUUCAUUCCAUGGUUCAAACUCAAAAUCACAGCUGUUUUCAGCUGCUUGCCAGGGUCUAAAAUGCUUCUGACCAAGGCCUGGAACCUCUAAAAAUGUCUGAGGGACAUUUUGGGUUCCGACAUCUCCCCUCUCUGUUUGAACCAGAAACACCUGCUUUACCAUGCUGUUCAAGGUCUUUCGAAUACACACGAAAAUGCAUGGCAGAACAAGCAGAAGAACUACAAGCCCUAUAAGAAUAUAAAAUGCUAUUUUUGAAAGUUCUUUCCACAAUGGUGAGAUAUCAAAAAGGUUAAACAAACUAUCCCACCAGGACCCUGUAACUCUGUUCAAUUUGCUAAUACUGUUCUGUAUUUGUUUUAUAUUUUCAUGAAUAGAUUUUGAAUGAUCGGACAAGUUCAUGCAGCACAUCCCCUCAAAUUCCUCACAUCCGUGCCCAUGUGUCAGCAGCAAAUAAUCAAUUGCCGCCCUGUUUUGAAGCACUGCUUGCCUUGCACUGUUGAUGUCUGUUAACAUGUCACUCAGUGCAAACGAAAUGGCACGGCUGUGUUUCCUCAACCAACACGCUAUAUGAUCCAAUUGUGUCAAGGCCACCCCUGAUGCUGUUUGGGGUGAGAAAAUUGCUAUUGCAAUUCUCUGAGCCUUGUUCCAGGUAGAAACAUCAUCAUCACAAUUUGGACUAUAUUGUUCAAGGGAUCUUUUUUCCCUGUGUGUCUGCUUUUGUAAAGUUUUCAAAUCAGGUGUUAACAAUGAGAGUUCCCCGAUGCUGCAUGGACCACCCUUGAUUUUUGCAGGGAUAGCAGGCCAAAUUCUGUCCCCGCAAAUGAAAAACAUUCCCUUCGGUAAAGUGGCUGGGUGUUGAAGGGAUGGUUUGCUUGUUAUUUUUGUGUGAUUGCACCAAGAUGAUGCAUUUUUAUAAAAAGGCUGAUUGGGAGUGACAUCUAUUGUAUGAUUAUCUGUCUUUGCCACUCCUGAUGAAUUAAAUUUGAUGCACCAUUUCAUUUUUGUUGAUCCAAAAAUGUCCAAUUCUGGAGGUUCCAAGUGAGCCACAGGAAGGUACUGUGUCCAAACUUGCCAUCCUUCCACAGGAUCCGAAAAAGUUUUCAGAAUCUCUGGAGGGAUGCCUUUUGGAAUUGGCCAUUCCUUCACUGGCACACCUACUAAACAUGUUGAAAAUGGUUUUCCUGGCUUUGAAUGAGUCAGACAAAUGCUGUCUAGACCCGCUGCCUUUGCCAAAGUUUCCCACACAUUUUCCUUUGGUUGUUUCACGGGAAAGUCUGUCCAAUUGCCCAAGGCAAUAGGCAAGAGAAUGAAGCACAUGAACACUAUCUGCCUGAAUCCCAUGUCCAUGCCCCCACCCUCUGUGAGAGACCCUGCAAUGCAGCAACACCCAAACAACACUUGAUUUCUCAGGAAAAGAAAACCCCCAAGUCUCUGGGUGAUCAGUCGUUGUCUGAUGUGACGUCUGCGUCGUCGUCUGCCUUCGUCUGCGUGCUUGCUUCUCUGCUCCUCGGGUCCACGUCCACUUGCGUCUGCACCCGAUAAGGUUUCACGUGCCUCGCCGACACCCACUUCGGUCCUCGCUCUGUGGAAACACAAGCGAAACCCUUGCCCCAAGUUAUUAAUGUAAAUGGACCUUCAAUUUGUCCCGAUUCUGGAUUUCUGAUCAAAACUAAAGGAUUUUCCCUUAGCUUUGCUUGUGUGCUGUUUGUGAAGUGCCUAACAAUUGGUGGAGUGGGUUCUGAGAAAGAACCAUUUAAAAAAUUCAAUACAUACAGAGCUUUGUUCAACCGCAUGUGCGGUGUUGCGCCUGCUUCCCCUCUUUUCUGUUUAUCCAAGAGGGAUUUCAGGGUGUGAUGUGUUCUUUCAAUGAUUGCUUGACCUGAGGGAGAAUAAGGAAUACCAAAAAUGUGUUUGACUCCCCAUUUUUUCAGAAAUUUGUCAAGCACCUUACCUGUGUAAGUUGGACCAUUAUCUGUUUUUAUUUCUUGUGGCACCCCGAGUGAUGCAAAUGCUUGCAAAAAAUGUCUGCAGGCAUGUUCUGCAGUUUCCCCUGUAUGUAGUGAUGCGAAAAUUGCUCCUGAAAAUGUGUCAACUGAAACAUGGAUAUUUUUGAGCUUCCCAAAAGAUGGGUAUUUUGUCACAUCAGCUUGCCACAGCUGAAGACUCUGCAAUCCCCUUGGAUUGACAGCUCCUGUGGAUGCAGGAGGCUGCACAAGCUGACAAUCUGGGCAAGCACUGAUGAUUUCCCUCGCCUGACUUUUAGAAAGGCGGAAGGACUCCAUCAGUGCCUGUGCAUUUUGAUGGAAAAAUGCAUGGCUCAAUUUUGCCUGCUCAAAAAUAUCUGGCAAUUUCUGUGAUAUGGUCAUUGUGAGCCUAUCUGCGUGAGCAUUCCCUUCUGCUAGGAACCCUGGGAGUGAUGAAUGUGCCCUGAUGUGUGCAACAAAAUAUUUGUGCUCUCUAUUUUCUAGAAUUGUCCUCAUGCAUAACAAAUAUGAAUAUAAAAUUUCAUUGUCAGUGUGUUUCAAAAGUGAUCCCUCUAAUCGUUUGACCACAUUUGCAACAUAUGCUGAAUCUGUGAUCAGAUUGAGAGGUUCCUGAAACAAUUGAAAAACCCUAACCACUGCUGCCAAUUCCACAAUUUGUGGUGAACCCUGUACUAUUUUUAUGUCUGAUUCCCAUUCCCGUGUUUUUGGAUUUUGCCAUGUGACCACUGAUUUGUGCGUUUUCCCUGAACCAUCAGUGAAUAUUGUCAUCCCUUCCACUGGUUCCUGGCUUAUUUUUGGCUUUUCUCUGAAACUCACUUUUGCAUUUAACAUCCUGUGCGCCGGGAAAUGAACUGUACAAAUCCCUGGAUAUCCUAACAAAGCAAUUGCAAGAUCCUGUGAUUUCUGCAUCGCCCACUCAAAAUAUACUUUCUUUAAAGGUACAUGAAUGACUGAGAAAUCCCUGCCUGACAUCACCAGCAAUCUGGUUCUCGCCUUAAUAAUAAUUUGUGCUAUCAUUUCUAAAUUUGUAAGAAUUGUUUUUGAGGGCCUGUAAGCUAAAAAAACCCACUCUAUCAACAAAAGAGGGUCCAUCUGAGACAAAUCCCAUUGAAAAAUCAACCCAUAUAACUGUGCUGUCUCCCCCAACACUGCUAAAUGAAAAGGCAAUGAUUCCACAAAGCGAUGUGCUUGUCUCUGUUGAAUCAUGUCUGUGAUCUUCUCAAGAUCUUUUCUUGCUUCAGGUGUCAGAGUUCUGGGAGAUUUGAUGUUGUUGUCCCCUCUCAAAAGAUCGAGCAGUGACGAGAUGUCAUCAUUGGUGAUUCCCAGGAUUGGUCUCAUCCAGUUGAUCUCCCCCAAAAGCUGCUGUAAAUCCUGCAGAUUGGUGACCUUUGUGUUGAUCUCCAGCUUUUGUGGUCUUAUUGUUUGCUUCGAGAUUUUCCAGCCCAGAUAUUUCCAAGGUGCAAUUUCUUGUAUUUUUGGUGCACUGAUUUCCAGUCCUGCCUUUUGCACCUGUGCAAUCACACAGUCACGAACCUCUUGCACCUCCUUUUUUGUCGGUGCUGCAACGAGCAAAUCGUCCAUAUAAUGAAUAAUUUUUGGUUUUGGAUGCUUCUCUCGUGCUGGAUGAAAUGCUUGGGCCACGUACCACUGACAAAUGGUUGGAGAAUUUUUGAGACCUUGCGGAAGAACUGUCCAAUGGUACCUUUGCAGAGGUUCUUCUCUGUUGAUGCUUGGGACAGAAAAUGCAAAGCGUGGAGCAUCAUCUGGAUGAAGUGGAAUGCUGAAAAAACAGUCCUUGAGAUCAAUGAUCACAAGCGACCAGUCUCUCGGGAUCAUUGAGAGAGAUGGGAGUCCAAGCUGAAGUGGUCCCAUGUCCUCAAUGACCUCGUUGAUUUUCCUGAGAUCAUGAAGCAGUCUCCAAGACCCUGAAGUUUUCUUGUGAAUGACGAACACUGGAGAAUUCCAUGGGCUGUCUGUGGGUUUGAUGUGUCCCUUCUGCAGCUGUUCCUGGACCAGCUUUUUCAAGGCACUCAAUUUCUUUCGUUCAAGGGGCCACUGAUCCACCCAAACAGGAUCACUUGUUUUCCAGGUCAGCUUCAGAGUGGCGAGUGCCACAGUGACCCCUGUCAAAAAUCCAAUUCUAAUUUCAGUCCCCAUUGUGCUAAAAGGUCCCUUCCCCACACUGUGAUGGGCUUUUGCACGAUGAAAGGACGGAUGACUGCUGUUUUCCCUCCCGGGCCUCUGACAACGAUUGCAUUUUCACUUUGCAUGCAUAGGGAACUUCCUCCUAUGCCUGAGAGAGAGCCCAAAGGUGCAACCAAGUCCCAUUCCCGGGGCCAAAAAAUGUAUGAAAUAACUGUAGCAUCUGCUCCUGUGUCAAGCAUUCCUGUGAUAGUAAUUGUCUUUUCGUUACAAGUCAACUGACAAGUAACAACAGGCCGAUCUCGGCUCACAUGUUUCACCCAAGAUGCAUGCACUUCUGCUUGAUCACCAGAAAAAGAGUCCCGUGUGUUGAACACUGGCAUGACUUGCCUUUCUGGGUGAGAUGGCAAAGCCAUGGCUCGAGCAAUUGGUGUAUUUUGUGGAAUUGUCAAAGGUGGUCGCAAGGCUUUUGCUGUGACCAUCAGCUCCUCAUUACGGUUUGCUGAAAUCAAAGAUGGGUAAACAACAAGUCCAAGAAUGCUGCUUCUGUCUCUGGCCAUUAUUAAAAAAUCCUGCCUUUUCCAAGAAGUCCCUGUGACACCUGUGGGUAUCACUGCAUGGCUAUUGUCCAAAAAACACGUCAAUUUGGAGGUUGCCAGGACGCGUUGGAAUCCGGGUGGUACCAAGUCUGGGUCGCUGGGGAUUUUGGAGAUUGCUCUGCUGAAGGAUUCUGUUUGUUGUUCCCCGAGGAUUGCUCCUGCUGAUUCUGUGUCACCGCCAGAAUUUGUGUCGGUGCGCGCUGGCGUCGAUUCGCGCUCUUUUUCCCGUUUCCCGGAACCGGAAGAGGUUUUCCAUCCACGUCUGUCUGUGAGUGGCACUCACUCGCGAGAUGUCUCCCUCUCCUGCAUCGAGGACAGAGGUCUGGUGGCUUGUUGGGCUUUGCAAGUUGUGGGCAGUUCCUUUUAAAAUGUCCUUGUGCCCCACACCCAAAGCACCGUCUCUCUGCACCGGUGUUGCCCUUUGCAUAAUUUGCAAGAACUUCCUUAACACGCUUUUCAAUUCGAUCCCCCAAGUGUUCCUCCAUGAUGGAAGCAACAUGUUGUGGUGUUCCCACCUUGCUGCACGCCUCAAUCAUGUCCGCCAAGGUGGCCUGGUGUGGCAUCAUGCUGAUAAUUCGCCUGCACUCUGGGUUGGCAUUGGAGAACGCGAGGCUUUUGGUCAGAUGUGGUUUCGCCCCCUCCUCGGUCACCUGCCGCUCCACUGCCUGAGAAAGACGAUCCACGAACGAGGAAAAUGGCUCUGAAGAACCUUGCUUGAUCUCGGUGUAGAUGUUGUCCUGGACCCCCGCCGGAGCAAUCUGAAGAAUUGCUCUCCGUGCCGCCUCUUUGAUGUUGCUGAGCACGUGCCGUGGGAGUCUCACCGCCUGCUGAGUUGGAUCGUCCUCAGGAGGAUCACCGGCAAGCUGCACCAUGGUGAGGUUCGCGUUUGGCCCGCCUUGGUAUCUGGCUCUCAGCUCCUCCAGGGAUCUCCGCCACGCCUUCUGCCAAAUGAGAGCUUGGGUGUCUGUAAGAACUGAUGUUGCGAGAUAUUUAAGAUCAUAUGGUGUUAAAUCAUACAUGCCAAAAAUACUUUUCAACAUCUGUUUGAAAUAUGGUGAUGACAACCCAUUGUCCCGAAUGGCCUUAGCUAAAUCUUUGAUUGCUCCACGAUCCAGGCGUUCCCAUCUCGGGUUUUGGCCCUGAGCAUCAUAGUUCACUGGCAUCACUAUGUUUCCCGAACCCUGCAAUAAACCUUUCUCCUUCUCCAAUUCUGCCCGAAUGUCCUGCCAGUCCACUUUCGCAUCCGGCAAAGCUGGAAAUUCUGUGGGUACUUGCCUGUAGAGUGGAGUCAUCUGAGGUGACUGCAGUUUUGAUGCAGCAGCACUCACCGAUACCAACGGCGUCUGCGGCAUCUGUGAAGAUGAAGGCUGGGUGCCUCCGGAGAAAAGUGGAGCACCUGCUGUGGAGGAGAACACAUGACUGCCCUGCAUUAUUUGGAAAAUUUUUGGAAGAUGAACCAACAGCUCUGGCUGCGACUCCAAGGCUAUGCUUAAAUAUCGUAAAAGAAAUUCAACAACCCUUUUUGAUACUGAAAUUGAUUCUCCCUGCCCCGAAAUUUUGGCAGACCUUGAUUUUGGAAUUGUCCAAGCUGGGACACCCUCCGAGGCAGUGAUGCGAAUCGUGUCAUCCUGUUGUUGAGCCCCAGCAGAAGUGUCCUGAGUCCCACACUCUUCUGGAGUCAGCGGAGAUUCCUGCUGUCGUGCAGAUGCAGCUCUUCUCAUCCUAGAUUUUUUCUUAUAAGAAGCUGGAAAAAAGUCUUGAAUUGUCAAAGUCCCACCACUGUGUGACACCUUGCCUUGUCUGACUGGGUCCUGUAAAAUCUGCUGCAAUGAUGUGGUUCCGCCACUAGAUGGCGCUGCCGCCUGACCAACUGAGGUCGGGACUGCACUUGGCUCUUCAAUUUGCACUUCUGAUAAAUAUUUGAUCAUCUCUUCUGACAACUGAUUCACAUUUGCAAACCCCGUGGUAAUUCCUGAUAAAUGUUUGAGCAUUUCUCCCCAUAACUGAUUCACGUUUGCAAUCCCUGCACUCUGUGAAACUGACUCUUGUAACAACUGUUCUAUU